rnacentral:rRNA from 1 species
GGUUCGAUCAUGGCUCAGAUUGAACGCUGGCGGGAUGCUUUACAUGCAAGUCGAACGGCAGCGGACUCGGUCUGGUGGCGAGUGGCGAACGGGUGAGUAAUGUAUCGGAACGUGCCUAGUAGCGGGGGAUAACUACGCGAAAGCGUAGCUAAUACCUUACGCCCUUCGGGGAAAGCGGGGGACCUUCGGGCCUCGCACUAUUAAACGGCCGAUAUCGGAUUAGCUAGUUGGUGGGGUAACGGCUCACCAAGGCGACGAUCAACAGCUGGUUUGAAGGACGACCAGCCACACUGGGACUGAGACACGGCCCAGACUCUGGGAGGCAGCAGUGAAAUUUUGGACAAUGGGGAAACCCUGAUCCAGCCAUCCCGCGUGUGCGAUGAAGGCCUUCAGGUUGUAAAGCACUUUUGGCAGGGAAAGAAACGGCACGGGAUAAUACCCCGUGCAACUGACUCACCUGCAGAAUAAGCACCGGCUAACUACGUGCCAGCAGCCGCGGUAAUACGUAGGAGUGCAAAGCGUUAAUCGGAAUUACUGGGCGUAAAGCGUGCGCAGGCGGUUCGGAAAAGAAAGAUGUGAAAUCCAGAGCUUAACUUUGGAACUGCAUUUUUAACUACCGAGCUAGAGUGUGUCAGAGGAGGUGGAAUUCCGCGUGUAGCAGUGAAAUGCGUAGAUAUGCGGAGGAACACCGUGUGAAGGCAGCCUCCUGGAAUAACACUGACGCUCAUGCACAAGAAAACGUGGAGCAAACAGGAUUAGAUACCCUGGUAGUCCACGCCUAAACGAUGUCAACUAGCUGUUGGGGCCUUCGGGCCUUGGUAGCGCAGCUAACGCGUGAAGGAUUGACCGCCUGGGGAGUACGGUCGCAAGAUUAAAACUCAAAGGAAUUGACGGGGACCUGCACAAGCGGUGGAUGAUGUGGAUUAAUUCGAUGCAACGCGAAAAACCUUACCUACCCUUGACAUGUCUGGAAUCCCGAAGAGAUUUGGGAGUGCUCGCAAGAGAACCGGAACACAGGUGCUGCAUGGCUGUCGUCAGCUCGUGUCGUGAGAUGUUGGGUUUAAGUCCCGCAACGAGCGCAACCCUUGUCAUUAGUUGCUACGAAAAGAGGGCACUCUAAUGAGACUGCCGGUGACAAACCGGAGGAAGGUGGGGAUGACGUCAAGUCCUCAUGGCCCUUAUGGGUAGGGCUUCACACGUCAUACAAUGGUCGGGACAGAGGGUCGCCAACCCGCGAGAGGCCAAUCCCAGAAACCCGAUCGUAGUCCGGAUCGCAGUCUGCAACUCGACUGCUGAAGUCGGAAUCGCUAGUAAUCGCGGAUCAGCAUGUCGCGGUGAAUACGUUCCCGGGUCUUGUCACCACCGCCCGUCACACCAUGGGAGUGGGUUUUACCAAGUAGUUAGCCUAACCGUAAGGAGGGCGAUUACCACGGUAGGAUUCAUGACUGGGGUGAAGUCGUAGCUAAAGGUAG